rnacentral:rRNA from 1 species
GAUGAACGCUGGCGGCGUGCCUAAUACAUGCAAGUCGAGCGAACAGACGAGGAGCUUGCUCCUCUGACGUUAGCGGCGGACGGGUGAGUAACACGUGGAUAACCUACCUAUAAGACUGGUAUAACUUCGGGAAACCGGAGCUAAUACCGGAUAAUCUAUUGAACCGCAUGGUUCAAUAGUGAAAGACGGUUUUGCUGUCACUUAUAGAUGGAUCCGCGCCGCAUUAGCUAGUUGGUAAGGUAACGGCUUACCAAGGCAACGAUGCGUAGCCGACCUGAGAGGGUGAUCGGCCACACUGGAACUGAGACACGGUCCAGACUCCUACGGGAGGCAGCAGUAGGGAAUCUUCCGCAAUGGGCGAAAGCUUGACGGAGCAACGCCGCGUGAGUGAUGAAGGUCUUCGGAUCGUAAAACUCUGUUAUUAGGGAAGAACAAAUGUGUAAGUAACUAUGCACGUCUUGACGGUACCUAAUCAGAAAGCCACGGCUAACUACGUG